rnacentral:lncRNA from 1 species
GGGGUUUCUCUUCAUUGGUUUCUUCCAUUCACCACAGCCAGGAGCUGUCUCACAGUUUGGGUUAUCAAUCUUUGGUGCCUCCCAUUCACCAUCUUCUUCAUCAUCCCAAUCUUCAGGCUUGGUGGCCUCAGGAUCAUCGAUCUCUUCAGGCUCAUCAUCUAGCCAUCCUUCAGGCUUUUCGGCUUCCUCAUCUACAAUUUCCAUUGGUGCAUCCUCAUCCCAAUCAUCUGGCUUCACUGCAUUAGGAUCGGGAAUUUUCGCUCUCUCAUCCCAAUCCUCAGGUUUCUUGUCAUCUGGAUCGGCUAUUGUCUUGGCAGGAAUUAUAGGAGGCUCGAAAUCAUCCUCAGAAAGGAAAUUAGCCUUUUUCUUCUCACUCCCAUCAAUGAGAAUACGCACAUUAUUGCCAGAUUCCAAAAUGGCUGUGUAAACAUGAGACAAUUUGUCGGCUGGGACAGAAGGAG